rnacentral:tRNA from 1 species
GCGGGAGUGGUGGAAUUGGCAGACACGCAGGAUUUAGGUUCCUGUGCCGAAAGGCGUGUGGGUUCAAGUCCCACCUUCCGCA